rnacentral:lncRNA from 1 species
ACCUUCUAUUGAAUCAUUUAACAGCGGGCUCUCCCUGUUUACCCUAAAUCUAUUAUGCAGCAGUUUGAGACCUGCUUUUACAUCAAAAUUGAAGUACUUUGUAUUUGGCCAUAGUCAAUCCAUAAACUUUUAGGUUCUUACAUCAUCUGUUAGAUUUACAUAUUCCUUUGCUAUCUUGAUUUUGAUAUUAAUAACAUGUCUGUGUAAGUUC